GGAGGCCGUCAGUAUCUCCAUGUCCUAUAUGUUCUCAACUUUAUCUAUCCAUUGCCUGAGGGUGGGUGGUGUUGGGUGUUUCCAAUGCAGGGGUAUCAACACCUUUGUGGCAUUCAACAGCGUGAUGGUAAGGGCGAUUUUGUAUUUCUGCGUGGGGGUGGGUGUGUAGUGUAAGAGCAUCGUCAUGGGUUGUAGGGGGAGGUCAUCUCCAGUGAUUUAUUUGAUCUUUGUGUUGAUCAGCUGCCAGUAAGUUGUUAUGCGGGGGCAUGACCACCAGAUGUGUAGGCUUGUUCCCAGGGCCGUGCUGCAUCUCCAUCAUUCGCCCGUAUUGGCUUCAUGGAUGUGUCUAAGGGUGUCUGGCGUUCUAUACCAGUGUGUCAACAACUUGUAGCUGGUCUCUUGAAACUUUGAACUAAUGGAGCAUUUGUGGGUUAGGAGGACUAUUUUGUCCCAUUCCUGAUCUGACAGUUGUGUCCGGGUCUCCCUUUCCCACUUGCUUAUGUAACCCAAGGGGCUGGUGUCCCUGGUCCUCUGUAGAAUCCCGUAUAGGAGUGACACCCAAUGUUCAAUGUGUUGCCUAUGGAUGUGGUCCUUACCAGUGAGUUUGGCAAGGUAUGUCUUCACUUGGUGAUAGCAAAAUGUAUCUAAUUGGGUGGGUUGUUGGUCCUCCAUCAGUUUGGCCAGUGGCUGGAGCGUCCCCCCCGGACACCAUUGGUAUAUGUACAACCAAUCCGUCUGUUGGAAGUUUAAUACUACAGGGGGGAGGCCUCCUGCCAAGUUCGGGUUGUGCGUGAUGGUGGUUAGCUGUUGAGCGUAUCGUAGGUUGCACCAGACCUUGAGUGUCGCGUCUAUCAUGGGGUUGUCCGUGUGUAGCUCCGCGAAUGUGGCUCCCCCAAGCCAAAGUCUCGAGGGAAUCUUGCCUUGUGUUUGUUGCAGUUCCAUGUUCACCCAGUGUUUUGGGCUUGGGCGUGCGUACCAGUCCACUAUUCUGUGCAGGUGUGUAGCUCGGUAGUAUGUGGUCACUGACGGUAGCCCCAACCCUCCGGCUAACUUUGGUCGCUCCAGGAUCGACCUGCGGAUGCGUGACGGUCUGUGGUUCCACACGAACCUGCGGAUGGCCGUCUCCACCGAUUUGAAGAAUGACUGCGGGAUCUUUAUUGGUAAUGUAGAUAAGAAGUACAACAGCCUCGGAAACACGUUCAUCUUGACCGCAUUAAUACGGCCAAACCAGGUGAUAUAGCGUGCCGUCCAGCAUUGGAGGUCUUGUUGUAUGGCCUUGAGGAGAGGGAGGAAGUUCAGUUGGUACACUUGUGUCAGGUCCCUCGGUAGCCAGGUGCCAAGGUAUCGCAGUUUCACCGCGCACCAUGAGAAGGUAAACUGGGCACUGAGCCUGUUAAUAUCCUCAGCGUUCCGCAUUAUCGGCAUAGCUUCUGAUUUAUCUAGGUUGAGUUUCAGAUGGGAUACUUGGUGGAACCCUUGGAGUGCCUGUAGCAGGUUGGACACCGAGAUCAUGGGUUGUUCCAGAAAGAAGAGCAUAUCGUCGGCGUAGGCCGCUACUUUACGUUCCUCCGUUCCCACCUGCACCCCCGUUAUUCCCCCGUCUCGUCUGACCGCCUCCAGGAAUGGCUCCAGGGUGAGGGCAAACACGAGAGGGGACAGCCCUGGCGGGUCCCAUUGCAUAUAGGGAAAGGUUUUAUUAGGACUCCGUUUACGCGUAUCCGGGCUGUCGGCGUGGUGUACAAGGCCGAGAUCCAUGAGCGCAUGUGUGCGCCAAAGCCCAUGUGCAUUCAGGUAUACCCAGUCCACUAGGUCGAACGCCUUUUCGGCGUCCGUCGAGAGGAAGACUGCGUCUCGUCCCCUGGACCUCGCACUGUGGAUAACGUUCAGCGCCCGUAUGGUAUCGUCCCUGGCUUCCCUGCCUGGAAUAAAGCCAACCUAAUCAUGAUGAAUCAGGUCCGUUAGAAUACAGGAUAUUCUCAGUGAAAGGGCCUUUGUGAACAGUUUUAGAUCGGCAUUCAGCAGCAAGAUUGGCCUGUAGCUCGCACAGUUGGAUGGAUCUUUCCCAUCUCAGGGGGACUAUGUGGGGAAUCUUCCUCCCUCCCGUAUAGCAUUUAGGCUCGCCAGAAGUCUUGGCAGGAGCACAUCCCGGUAUGUCCGUAGAUAUGUCAGAGGAAGGCCAUCUGGGCCUGGUGCUCGAUGUGGUUUUGAUUUCUUCAGUGCCGCGGCUAGCUCCUCCAGUGUCAGAGGGGCUGUCGAGUUCUUCCACGAGUUCUGGUGUAACUUUGCGGUUGACAUGCUGUGCCAGGUAGUCUGUGACUUGUCGGCGAUGGGUUUGGGCCGCGCCCCCCUGUUGGGACCGAGACUGGUUGUACAGGUCCGUGUAAUAAGCCCUGAAUGCCUCCAUAAUGCCCUCCGGCAUUCCGGUGGUUCGUCCGUCUCGUGUGCUUAUCUUGUGGAUGUGUUGGGAUCUUUGUUUCUCCUGGAGCAUUUUCGCCAGGAGUCUUCCAUUGGAGUGCUCGUAGAAGAACCUGGCAGAUUUCCGUAGGGUGUGAAGCAGGCCCUGGGAUUAGUGGUCUGCGAGUGCCCUACGUGCCUCUGUAAGUUGUAAGUAGACAUUGUCAUCUAAUGUCUGUUAUGUGAGUUUUCUAUCUCAGCUAUCUGUUUUGUUAGGUCUGAGAUUAGGCAUGCCCUGUUCUUCCUACGCUGUGUGCCAAUGGAUAUGUAGUGACCCCGAAUAACACAUUUAUGGGCUUCCCAUAACGUCAGUGGGGACAUGUCGGGAGUGUCAUUCGCUUCAAAGUAGUGUGUGAUAGUCUAUAGGGCUGAUUCGCUGGCCUCCAGGCCGUCCAGUAAGGUCUCAUUGAGUUUCCACUGGCGCUCCGUGGGCUUAAAUAAUGGGGAUUUCAUCUGCAUCAUGACGGUGCGGGGUCGGAUUGGUGUAUACUACCUAUUUUUGCGUCUUGAAGGAGGGACAAACUUUCCUGAGGCAUGAAUAUAUAAUCUAUUCGGCUGUAUUGUUUGUGUACUGACGAGUAGUAGGAGAAAUCCCUGUCAUCUGGGUGGACCACCCUCUACUAACCCCAUCUUGGUCAGGGAUCGUCGUAUCGAGCGCAGGCAAUGCGCUGGGAUCGUGCUUGUGCCUUGCGAGGAGUCUAUGCGUGAGUCUAUAGGGACGUUUAGGUCUCCUGCCAUCAUGAAGAGGCCCUCUCUGAACCUGUCAAGCUUGGCCGGUGUCCUGGCAAGAAAGGUGUGCUGUCUACGGUUGGGGCUAUAUAGGCAUGCGAAAGUGUAGGUGAGGUCCGCAAUGGAACCCUUGAGGAAGAUAUACCUUCGCCUGAGUCUAUAAGUGACUAUGUGUCGGAACGGCACCGAGUGUGCGAAUAGUAUCGCCACACCCGCUUUCCUAGUGUCUGGGUGGUUAGCAUAGUAUCCCUGCGGGAAGCGUCUAUUCUCAAAUGUGUCAUUGCGUCUUGGCCUCUAAAAUGCGUCUCCUGCAGGAACGCUACGGGCUGUCAGAAUAUUUAUAUCGGCAGACAUUUUGUGCUAAGAAAGAAAUUAAAAGUGUAUAUUGCC
rnacentral:lncRNA from 1 species